rnacentral:rRNA from 1 species
GAUGAACGCUGGCGGCGUGCCUAAUACAUGCAAGUCGAGCGAACAGACGAGGAGCUUGCUCCUCUGACGUUAGCGGCGGACGGGUGAGUAACACGUGGAUAACCUACCUAUAAGACUGGGAUAACUUCGGGAAACCGGAGCUAAUACCGGAUAAUAUAUUGAACCGCAUGGUUCAAUAGUGAAAGACGGUUUUGCUGUCACUUAUAGAUGGAUCCGCGCCGCAUUAGCUAGUUGGUAAGGUAACGGCUUACCAAGGCAACGAUGCGUAGCCGACCUGAGAGGGUGAUCGCCCACACUGGGACUGAGACACGGUCCAGACUCCUACGGGAGGCAGCAGUAGGGAAUCUUCCGCAAUGGGCGAAAGCCUGACGGAGCAACGCCGCGUGAGUGAUGAAGGUCUUCGGAUCGUAAAACUCUGUUAUUAGGGAAGAACAAAUGUGUAAGUAACUAUGCACGUCUUGACGGUACCUAAUCAGAAAGCCACGGCUAACUACGUG